rnacentral:rRNA from 1 species
AUUGAACGCUAGCGGGAUGCCUUACACAUGCAAGUCGAACGGAGUGGCGAACGGGUGAGUAAUGUAUCGGAACGUGCCCAGUAGCGGGGGAUAACUACGCGAAAGCGUAGCUAAUACAGCAUACUAUUGGAAGGGUCGAUACCGGGUUAGCUAGCUGGUGGGGUAAGGGCUCACCAAGGCCACGAUCCGUAGCUGGUUUGAGAGGAUGACCAGACACACGGGGACUGAGACACGGCCCAGACUCCUACGGGAGGCAGCAGUGGGGAAUUUUGGACAAUGGGGGAAACCCUGAUGCAGCCAGGCCGCGUGUGCGAUGAAGGCCUGCGGGUUGUAAAGGACUUUUGGCAGGAAGGCGGUACCUGCAGAAUAAGCACCGGCUAACUACGUGCCAGCAGCCGCGGUAAUAC